CUCUGAUUUAAAAAUUAAUCAGGGCCGAAGGAG
rfam:Turicibacter sanguinis PC909 contig00025, whole genome shotgun sequence.